GGAUUCAUUCUUAAAUAUAAGCAUUGCAGAAAAGUUUAGCCUAUAAGAAAUAUAACCACUGAAAUAUGCUUCCAUCCAUAAAAAAAAUCAGUGUCAAAUCUGUUGGAAUAUUCUUCUAGCUAUCUUUACAUGAUUACAUAGAGUUAGAAAAUAUAUGAGUAAAUAUAUAGAUAAGAAUAAUUCUCAGUGGGAGAAUAUGCUCAAAUGGCAUAGUAUAUUCUUUUAAAUUAAAAAGUGUUAAAUUUAAUUUUACUUUAAUAAAGGAAAAACUACAUUUUUACCUUAACAAAGGAAAAUAAUUGUUGAACUUUAAUAUUAAAUUCUAAAUUUAAUCUAUAAUAAAUCACUAAAAUAUCUAGCAUUGAAUCCCUUGCUUUUUUGACUCAUGUGUAUUAUAUAUAAUUUUUGUUGGAUUAGAAUAUAUAUAUGUGCCUGGCAGUGGUGGCGCACACCUUUAAUCCCAGCACUUGGGAGGCAGAGACAGGCGGAUUUCUGAGUUUGAGGCCAGCCUGGUCUACAGAGUGAGUUCCAGGACAGCCAGGACUAUACAGAAAAACCCUGUCUUGACCCCCCCUCCCAAAGAAUAUAGAUAGGUAGGUAGGUAGGUAGAUAGAUAGAUAGAUAGAUAGAUAGAUAGAUAGAUAGAUAGAUAGAUAGACAGAUAGAUAGAUACAAAUUGGCUUCUUAAUAUGAGAUUUAUGAUAGGAUUCAGAAAGUCUCUGACCCCUACACUAUCUAAAAUUAUAUGGAAAAGUGUAUAUAUAUAAUAAAACCCUGCUUAUUUCAUAUUUCUGCGACUGGUAUCUAGCAACUACCUGAAAAUUGAAAGCAGUAUACAUCUAAAAUACAUAUAUAAUACAUACAUAAUGCCAUGCAUGUGGAGACUGGAGAACAGCCUUCAGUACCAUCCUCAGGAACACCACCCACCUCCUUUGAAGCAGGGUUUCUCAUUGCCUUGAAGCUCACCAGUUAGACUACCCAGGCUUGCCAGGGAGUUCCAGGGACUGUCACGUUUCUGCUCCUCCAUGACUGGGCUUACAAGUAGACACCAUCACACUUGACAUUUUCUGUUGGCUCUGGGCAUUGAACUAAGGUUCUCCUGCUUGCAAAGCAAGCCCUUUACUAGCUGAACCACUUCCUCUAGCCCCACUCCCUUUUAUCUAUUUGAAAGAAAGAUUGUUAACCGAGUAUUCGUUUUUUGUUAAGAUUUUUGACAUCUCUCUUAUAAUUACAUUUUAAUUUUCUAUUAAGUUUUUUUUUUCAAAUAGGGGCAAGAUAAUUUAAAUCAUUAAAAAAUAACGUGGUUGCAGAAUCCACCUAGAUUUUUAAUCUUUGUCUCCCAGCUUUUUAACUUGUAAUCUCAAAGAAGUUGUAUUUUAAAUAUUCAGCUUCAAAACUUUAUAAUGUACUUUAACCCAAUUUUAGCUCAUCUUUUAUCAUAUUUUGUUGUACUUAAGUUGUUUAGUUUCAAAUGAAACUGAUGUACAAUCUUGCACAGAAAAAGCAAACUUAAAACCAUGAAACAAUUUGCAAAGGACAUCAUCAUAUUAAGUGAAGUAAACUAGACUCAGAAAGAGAAAUAUUGGCCAGGUAUUGGUGGUGCACAGUUUUAAUCCCAGGACUUGGGAGGCAGAGGAAAGCAGAUCUCUUGAGCUCAACGCCAACUUGUCUACAAAGUGAGUUCCAGGAUAGCCAGAGCUACACAGAGAAACCAUGGCACAAAAACAAACAAACAAACCAAAAGACAAACACAAAAGAAAGACACAUAUUGAAUGUUUUCUCUCAUUUCUGGAUGCUAAUUUGUGUAUUGAUGCAUAAAACCACAUAUAUAUAUACAUAUGUAUUAUGUAAAUGGAUAUAUGUGCAUACAUAUGUAUGUGUAUAUAUGCGUGUAUAUAUGUAUAUAUAUGAGUGUGUGUGUGUGUAUAUAUAUAUAUAUAUAUAUAUAUAUAUAUAUAUGUGACAUGAAAACAGAAGAGAGUCUAAGGGAGAAAGGCUCAAAGUAGGGGUGAAGGAAAGGGAAGGCAAUAGGGACAAACAUAGUCACAGCACAUGAUAUACUAGGAAGAAAUUGUCUUUAUGAAACUUAUCAUGGAAGAAAUUUUACAAUAAAACGUUGAAAAGAUGUAUCUUAUAUUAAAGAGCAACUACUAAUGAUUGGUAUUCAAAAUUCUGUGAGUAUUUUUUACUAUAUAAAUAUUUCAUUUUGGCUGGAGAGAUGCCGUGGCGGUUAAGAAUGCUCUUACAGAGGAGGUCCCAGGUUCAGUAUCCACAUGGUGGCAGCUCAUAGUCAUCUGUUACUCUGGUGCUAAAGGAACUGAUGUCUUCUUUUUCACAAGAAUCAGACAUGCACACACUGCAUAUGAGUAUAUGUAGGCAAAAUAUCCAAACACAUUAGUAAUAAUAAUUAUUAGAAUAAUCAAGUAAUAAAAAUAAAUUUAAAAAUAUUUUUUUAAUCAGACAAGUCUCUUAAAGGGAUGUCAGAGAAGAAAUAUACAACUAUAAGUACAUUUUAAUAAGGAGAGAACUGACAGAUUUCAAAAAACAAAAUGAUAAUACAGAACAUAAUUUGCAGAAUAAAGGAGUACUUAAUAUGAGGCUAUUCUUUUUGUAAAUAAUUUUCCUUAUAGCAUUUGAUCACUGAGUUUUAUAAAUACUAACCAAGUAGCCUAUCUUUAUACACACACACACACACACGUAUAUAUAAACUUAAAGCUUUAUAGAGCUAACUGAGCCUCACCAAUUCUGUUAUUAGUACAGUCAGACUAGCACAUCUGUUAGUGCUCAUGCUGUACACUAGACUCCCAUAAUUGCCUCAUCUUAUCGUUUAAUGUUCAUUUCCUUUGACCAGUAUUUCCUUUAUUUCUUCUAGCAUCUUAAAAUCCCUUCUCUUUUCUCUUUUAUAGUAGUUUAUACUUAAAGUAAAUCAAUGUCUUCAUGUUACCAUUAUAAAAGUAUUCAUAAUAUCCC
rnacentral:lncRNA from 1 species